rnacentral:lncRNA from 1 species
ACCCGGCCUCGCGUUUUGAGAGGCCCCGCAGUCUACGAAAACUACCCAAUUAAAAAACACCGAUUUUGAUUAACUUUUUACAGAAUGAUGAUACCAUUAACAGAUGCAAGACAUUUUUUUAGUAGCGAUGAUUUGGUUUAAAGGAGUGACAAAAAUCAUCAAAGUUCAGUGUAACUCCAUAAAGUCCUCAUAUCCUGGAAAGUACUUUAGAUAAAAAAAUCCAGACGCUUUCAGAGAAAUGUACUUUUUAGAGAAAUUAAACUACAUCAAUAGUUUUUUUGCAAAAGUCAUACAUGAUUACAGAUUUUGUACUUUCAUUGAAUUUUUUGCCCCUAUAUAAUAUGUAACAGCAUUUAUAAAUAAAUAAUUCCUCAUUGUAAAAUUUAAGUGUAGGAUUUGAAUGUGUAUUCAGACCCCGCAAAAUUUUUGAACCCGGCCCCGCAAAAGGUCCGGCCCUGAUGCUAGAAAUAACAGUAGUGG